GCAUCAUUGCUCAGUUGGUUAGAGCAUUGAGCUAAUACACCAAGGUUGAGGGUUCAAUUCCCAUAUGGCC